rnacentral:rRNA from 1 species
GACGAACGCUGGCGGCGUGCUUAACACAUGCAAGUCGAACGGAAAGGCCCUGCUUUUGUGGGGUGCUCGAGUGGCGAACGGGUGAGUCACACGUGAGUAACCUGCCCUUGACUUUGGGAUAACUUCAGGAAACUGGGUCUAAUACACGAUCUGUGCUUCUGCUGCAUGGUGGGGGUUGGAAAGUUUCGGCGGUUGGGGAUGGACUCGCGGCUUAUCAGCUUGUUGGUGGGGUAGUGGCUUACCACGGGUUUGACGGGUAGCCGGCCUGAGAGGGUUGCCGGCCACAUUGGGACUGAGAGACGGCGCAGACUCCUACGGGAGGCAGCAGUGGGGAAUAUUGCACAAUGGGCGGAAGCCUGAGGCAGCAACGCCGCGUGCGGGAUGACGGCCUUCGGGGUGUAAACCGCUUUCGCCUGUGACGAAGCGUGAGUGACGGUAAUGGGUAAAGAAGCACCGGCUAACUACGUG